rnacentral:tRNA from 7 species
GCGAGUGUAGUGUAGCGGUUAUCACCCCACGUUGCCAACGUGGGAACCCGGGUUCAAAUCCCGGCACUCGCACCA